AGUGAACGCUGGCGGCGUGCCUAAUUCAUGCACGUCGAACGAAGUGGCGCACGGGUGAGUAAUAUAUAGUUAAUCUGCCCGACACAGAGGAACAACAGUUGGAAACGACUGCUAAUACCUCAUAGUGUAGGAUGAGACUAUAUCGUAUCAGCUAGUUGGUAAGGUAAUGGCUUAGCAAGGUUAUGACGCGUAACUGGUCUGAGAGGAUGAUCAGUCACCUUGGAAAUGAGCCACGGUCCAAACUCCUACGGCAGGCAGCAGUAAGGAAUAUUGCGGAAUGAGGGAAACCCAAACGCAGCCACGCCGCGUGGAGGAUGACACUUUUCGGGGCGUAAACUCCUUUUAUCAGGAAAGCGGUACCUGAUGAAUAAGCACCGGCUAACUCCGUGACAGCCGCCGCGGUAAUUC
rnacentral:rRNA from 1 species